ensembl:lncRNA
CACAGAGACCAAAAGAUGAGUUCCCGGGGCAGAAUUUCUGCUGCUCUGACUGCUGUGAAAUUCUUCGAUGCCAGACACAGACCCCAUAUUGGACUGUAUAAGACAAAACUGGUGGGGUUGACCACUUCAGAGUUUGGAGUCUUAAGAGUGGAACUAGAAAUCAGUGAUUAAAAGAUGAGAAAAAUCCCUUUGUUCUUGAACUGAUAUGGAUGUGCUUCAUAUUAUUAUAGUGGAUCAGCAUGUGCCAGAAGAAGGACGACAUCUUUAAACCUCAAAACUUGUGUAAGACAUCCAGGGGAUCUUCCCGACCCAGAGAUGGAACCUGCAUCUUUUACCUCUAACCUGCAUUGGCAGGUGAGUUCUUUACCACUAGCGCCACCUGAGAAGCC